rnacentral:miRNA from 1 species
UGCGGCAGAGCUGGGGUCA